CCUACGGGAGGCAGCAGUGAGGAAUAUUGGACAAUGGGCGGAAGCCUGAACCAGCCAAGUAGCGUGCGGGAUGAAGGCCCUACGGGUCGUAAACCGCUUUUGCACGGGGAUAACACCCUCCACUUGUGGAGGUCUGCAGGUACCGUGCGAAUAAGGGCCGGCUAGUUCCGGGCCAGCAGCCGCGGUAAUACGGAAGGACCGAGCGUUAUCCGGUUUUAUUGGGCGUAAAGGGAGCGUAGGCGGGCGUUCAAGCCGGAUGUAAAAUCGCGCGGCUCAACCGCGCCCCGCAGUUGAAACUGGACGCCUUGAGUUCACAACAGGCAGGCGGAAUUCGUGGUGUAGCGGUGAAAUGCAUAGAUAUCACGAGGAACCCCGAUUGCGAAGGCAGCCUGCCGGGGUGCGACUGACGCUGAGGCUCGAAGGUGCGGGUAUCAAACAGGAUUAGAUACCCUGGUAGUC
rnacentral:rRNA from 1 species